CUAUCAUCAUGGUAUCGAACUCCAUCUUUCCUCCAUCGGAUAUUUCAAGGUGGAGCUGUGGCACAGGCAAAGGGAUGAUCGAACAUAUCUGGAGUUGUCCCAAAAUGGUACCAUUCUGGGAGAUGGUAAAGGAAGUGUUAACCAAUGUAGUCGGAUGACAACCCGUGGAUCAAGCAUUAUUACACCAGUCUCAAUAUAAAAAGUCCAUCACUAGACACCUUCUCAUUGCAUUCCAUGCUGAUACCUGCC